UGAAAUACUCGCUGUUUGCGAUAUACAGUAAGCGGCCAAGCGAAAGCAUUUAAGUAUUCCACUUGGGGAGUACGCCGGCAACGGUGAAACUCAAAGGAAUUGACGGGGGGCCCGCACAAGCGGAGGAACAUGUGGUUUAAUUCGAUGAUACGCGAGGAACCUUACCCGGGCUUAAAUUGCAAAUGAAUUAUGGGGAAACCCAUAGGCCGUAAGGCAUUUGUGAAGGUGCUGCAUGGUUGUCGUCAGCUAGUGCCGUGAGGUGUCGGCUUAAGUGCUAUAACGAGCGCAACCGUAAUCUUCAGUUACUAACAGGUCAUGAUGAGGACUCUGGAGAGACUGCUGUCGUAAGAUGUGAGGAAGGUGGGGAUAACGUCAAAUCAGCACGGUCCUUACGUCCGGGGCUACACACGUGUUACAAUGGGGGGUACAGAAGGCCGCUACCUGGUGACAGGAUCCCAAUCCCAAAAACCUCUUUCAGUUCGGAUCGAAGUCUGCAACCCGACUUCGUGAAGCUGGAUUCGCUAGUAAUCGUGCAUCAGCCAUGGCGCGGUGAAUACGUUCCCGGGCUUUGUACACACCGCCCGUCAAGCCAUGAAAGCCGGGGGUACCUGAAGUACGUAACCGCAAGGAGCGUCGUAGGGUAAA
rnacentral:rRNA from 1 species